GGCCCAACUCAAAAUCCUACCACGGUGCUCUUCACCGAGUGUCGAGGUGGGCCGGUACGUUUACUUUGAACAAAUUAGAGUGCUUAAAGCAGGCUCAUUCGCCUGAAUAUUCUGUGCAUGGAAUAAUGGAAUAGGACCUCGGUUCUAUUUUGUUGGUUUUCGGAACUCCGAGGUAAUGAUUAAUUGGGACAACUGGGGGCAUUCGUAUUGCGACGUUAGAGGUGAAAUUCUUGGAUCGUCGCAAGACGGACAGAAGCGAAAGCAUUUGCCAAAUGUGUUUUCAUCAAUCAAGAACGAAAGUUAGAGGUUCGAAGGCGAUCAGAUACCGCCCUAGUUCUAACCAUAAACGAUGCCAGCUAGCGAUCCGCCGAAGUUCCUCCGAUGACUCGGCGGGCAGCUUCCGGGAAACCAAAGCUUUUGGGUUCCGGGGGAAGUAUGGUUGCAAAGCUGAAACUUAAAGGAAUUGACGGAAGGGCACCACCAGGAGUGGAGCCUGCGGCUUAAUUUGACUCAACACGGGAAACCUCACCAGGCCCGGACACCGGAAGGAUUGACAGAUUGAGAGCUCUUUCUUGAUUCGGUGGGUGGUGGUGCAUGGCCGCUCUUAGUUGGUGGAGCAAUUUGUCUGGUUAAUUCCGAUAACGAACGAGACUCUAGCCUGCUAAAUAGGCGUACUUUCCGGUAUCUCGAAGGCCCGCCGGCUCGGCUUCGGUCGUUGUCGUGUGUGGUUUUUACUACCGGCGUACACAUAUAUCUUCUUAGAGGGACAGGUGGCAUUUAGCCGCACGAAAUUGAGCAAUAGCAGGUCUGUGAUGCCCUUAGAUGUUCUGGGCCGCACGCGCGCUACACUGAAGGGAUCAGCAGGUUUUCCUUGGCCGAAAGGUCCGGGUAAUCCGUUGAAGCCCCUUCGUGCUAGGGAUUGGGGCUUGCAAUUCUUCCCCAUGAACGAGGAAUUCCCAGUAAGCGCGAGUCAUAAGCUUGCGUUGAUUACGUCCCUGCCCUUUGUGCACACCGCCCGUCGCUACUACUGAUGAAUGAUUUAGUGAGGUCU
rnacentral:rRNA from 1 species